CAAUGGCAAAGGAUGUGGGACGCGAAAAAAAAAUGAAAUCGAAGCCGAGUCCACAAAAACAUGGACCAUGGCAGUAAAAGUGGACAGAACUUGCGGUGUGAAAACUUAAUCAGUGACCAGAAGCAGUAUAAAAACGCUCUUGAGUUCAAUGUGAGCUGAAAGUUUUUUUUUUCUCCAAGUACUGUCAGUGUGUUUUUUAACCUGACCCAGAAACACCUGCGGACGUCCGCCAUCUUGCCACGGAGCCAAUUACAAAUGGCGCUCGCUGAAUCCACUUGGAUUUUUUUUUUUUUUUUAAAUUGCCGGCAAAUGAGGGUUUCACGCCGGGAACGGCGAACAAGACAACAUGCCGAUACUACGGCGGCGGUCUUGUCCUCCAGUCCGCAGGUGAGCUUUUGUUUUCCACCUCCCCGCAUCAUCAUCAUCAUCAUCAUCAUCCUUUAUUUUCUCCGACAGCCGUGUCGCCCGAAAGCUUUGUGAUAACAAGAACGCGUUGAAGGUGGUAUCAUGGAAAAUUGCGCCGAAGUCCCAGCGAGAAAGUUCUUGGCUCUGAGACUGAAGAUUUUCAGGAUUCAUCAAAUGUUAAAACCAUCCGAGGAACGCCACAAAGAAGAAACAUAUCUCAAAUCUUGAAUCCAAGAUUAGGACCCCUGGCCAGUUGAACAUAGAAAUUGUUCUUUGUCUUAAUGGAGGGCGGGGGAAAAAGUGUGCUUAGCGGUAUUUUGUCUUCAUCUUGGAGCUGAUAUUUUGUUGAUUUUGUUUCACUAAGAAUUAAGAAUAUAUCUAAAAAUGUUUUGCCGU